GCAGUGGUGGUUCAGUGGUAGAAUUCUCACCUUCUGUGUGGGAGAUCUGGGUUCGACUCCUGACCAAAGUA
rfam:Loxodonta africana unplaced genomic scaffold scaffold_3, whole genome shotgun sequence.